rnacentral:rRNA from 1 species
AGUGAACGCUGGCGGCGUGCCUAAUACAUGCAAGUCGAACGGAGUGGCGCACGGUUGAGUAAUAUAUAGCUAAUCUUCCCCUUCCUGGAGGACAGCAGUUAGAAAUGACUGCUAAUACUCCCUAGCAAGGGAUGAGACUAUAUCGUAUCAGAUAGUCGGUGGGGUAACGGCCUACCGAGGCUAUGACGCGUAACUGGUCUGAGAGGAUGAGCAGUCACAUUGGAACUGAGACACGGUCCAAACUCCGACGGGAGGCAGCAGUAGGGAAUCCUGCGCAAUGGGGGAAACCCUGACGGGGCAACGGCGCGUGGAGGAUGACACUUUUCGGAGCGUAAACUCCUUUUGUUAUGGAAGCGGUACCUAACGAAUAAGCAACGGCUAACUACGUGCCAGCAGCCGCGGUAAUUC